rnacentral:rRNA from 1 species
GAUCAUGGCUCAGGAUGGACGCUAGCUACAGGCUUAACACAUGCAAGUCGAGGGGCAGCAUGAACUUAGCUUGCUAAGUUUGAUGGCGACCGGCGCACGGGUGAGUAACACGUAUCCAACCUGCCGAUGACUCGGGGAUAGCCUUUCGAAAGAAAGAUUAAUACCCGAUGGCAUAGUUCUUCCGCAUGGUAGAACUAUUAAAGAAUUUCGGUCAUCGAUGGGGAUGCGUUCUA